UAGUAUCUCCUCCUCCCUAUGGAUGACGUUUGGAAAGUGAAAGUAUUUAUUUUCUGUUGGCAAAUCGCAGUUCUGGUGAGGGACUAGAGAGGUCAUCAUCAUCUGAGAGUGAUUAUCUGAAUCCUUCCUCAAACCUCUUUCAUUAGUAUGUUUUGGUCAUGUACUUACAUGGCAUCAUACAUUGGCGGCUUGAUUGUAGCUACGUAAUUCAAUUUCAAAAUCAAUGCAAUUAUAAUCAGUUACAGUUGCUGAAAAAAAGAGUUAUUAAUUUACAGCUAACGAUCAAAACGUUGGUCUGCACCACCUGUAAGACGGUUGCAAGGCGUCGGUCCAAAGCUGAGAGAUGCGGUUCAGAGAGGAGGGGGGCAACGCCGGCCAGAGGAUCCUGGAACAGCGACUCCCGCAUGACAUCACUCAGACGGAAGCCAGGGAGGGACAAGAGAGUCAAGCGGAGGACGGUGGAGCGACGGAUCCUACAAAUGUGGGGGGAGAGGAAUAGAAAUAUUGAAACCCACAUAAGCCAGAAUUUUUCAAGAGCAUUAAAGUUUCCUCACCCUCUCUGGUUCUUUUAA